rnacentral:lncRNA from 1 species
GGCGGUGGGAGCUGGCGGGUCACGGCGGCUGCGACGGGCGCGCCCUCGUGGCCUUACGUGGUCGUGCGUGACGUGCACCCCCGAGCGGGGACGCGGAGGGCGGGAGCGCGGGAAAGGCCGCCUGCUGGGCGGCGGCGGCGGUGGACGCGGUGCCCGCCCCGCAGCAGGGAUUCUCAACAGGGCUAAGGCUGGAGACACCAUUGGUUAUCUCGGUUGUCACAGGCAGAAAUGGAAGAUCAUGAGCCGACUGGAAUGGGAAUGAACGGAAAGAAGCGUGCUGUCUACGACCAGUUAGGAACAGGGAACACGAGUGUGGCUUGAGCUUCCUCAACCAUGUCGCUCAACCGAAUAGCUGCAAGCUGGGAAGUGCUGCGGAAGGCUAAUGUCGGGCAAACGGCCACUGUCAACGUGGGCCUCCUUCUCCUGAGAAACACAAUCACAGUAAUGGUCACUGGAGAGCCACUGGGUCGAGGUGAUAAAAAGCAAGAAAAUAGAAAAUAUUUUCAAGAAAGAAAGGAAGGAAGAAAGAAAAAAUGGGAGAAAGAAAGAAAAAGAGAAAGAAGAAAGAAGAAAGAGAAAGAAAGAAGAAAGAAAGAAAAGAAAGAAAGAAGAAAGAAAGAAAGAAAGAAAGAAAGAAAGAAAGAAAGAAAGAAAGAAAGAAAGAAAAGAAAGAAAGAGCAAGCCAUGUGAAAACAAUACAACCUAAAAUUCCAGUAUACUAUAGUGCUCUGGAUUGAAAACAUGUGCCUUGAGUAGCCCUGGGAUAAGAUCAUCUCUCACUAAAAGCACAGCCAUGGUCCGCCCUACAUUGUCCACCCUGGAGGCUACAUCUUACAUCACUUCUGUGUCCAUUGUCCCAGAGACAGGAACUGGAAUUUUAGCUCAUGUUACUUUGGAGGUUGUUCUUCACGCAGUUCAUGGAGUACUGGAAGGAUUUAGCAAAUCACCCUGUCCUAUUGGGAACUGUAGUACUCUCAUGGCAAUCAUCCUCCUACUCUGCUGCCCUUUUUUGGGCAUCAUGUUCCUACAAAUUACUAUAAAUUACUAUUUUCAUUCAUUUAAUACUGGAAUGAGACAAUGGAAUUCUUUUCUUUUGUGCAUGAGCCAAGAGAUAAUCUGUGUCAGGCUGAAGGAGUGAAAAAGGCAAUAGGGUUAGCGUGAAAAGCGACAGACCAACAUCAAUAUGCUAUGGACAACCACAUUUUUUUCUAUAGAUUACAGUAACGUGGAGCUGACUCUGGAUGCAAUGAAUCUUGUAAAUAAUUAUGGCUUAAGUUAUCAAGCUGUAAACUGGAC